UUUAACUGUAGCUGUUAGUUUUUUUGUCCAACGUUUGCCUGUCCAUCUUUUUAAAAAAAUUAUGAAAGAGUUUUUAAAAAUAAGUCACGCAUAAAAUACUAUUCAUGUUUUAUCAUUUAAUAAUAAUAGAAUAUUAAUCAUAAAAAAAUUUAAAUAACACGGACGGUUAAAUGUUGGAAAAAAAAUCCCACAACACACUUUAAA
rfam:Oryza barthii chromosome 1, whole genome shotgun sequence.